GGGUUGUGAGGUUAAGCGACUAAGCGUACACGGUGGAUGCCCUGGCAGUCAGAGGCGAUGAAGGACGUGCUAAUCUGCGAAAAGCGUCGGUAAGGUGAUAUGAACCGUUAUAACCGGCGAUGUCCGAAUGGGGAAACCCAGUGUGAUUCGUCACACUAUCGUUAACUGAAUACAUAGGUUAACGAGGCGAACCGGGGGAACUGAAACAUCUAAGUACCCCGAGGAAAAGAAAUCAACCGAGAUUCCCCCAGUAGCGGCGAGCGAACGGGGAGCAGCCCAGAGUCUGAAUCAGCUUGUGUGUUAGUGGAACGGUCUGGAAAGUCCGACGGUACAGGGUGAUAGUCCCGUACACCAAAAUGCACAGGUUGUGAACUCGAAGAGUAGGGCGGGACACGUGGUAUCCUGUCUGAAUAUGGGGGGACCAUCCUCCAAGGCUAAAUACUCCUGACUGACCGAUAGUGAACCAGUACCGUGAGGGAAAGGCGAAAAGAACCCCGGCGAGGGGAGUGAAAAAGAACCUGAAACCGUGUACGUACAAGCAGUGGGAGCACCUUCGGGUGUGACUGCGUACCUUUUGUAUAAUGGGUCAGCGACUUAUAUUCUGUAGCAAGGUUAACCGUAUAGGGGAGCCGCAGGGAAACCGAGUCUUAACUGGGCGUUAAGUUGCAGGGUAUAGACCCGAAACCCGGUGAUCUAGCCAUGGGCAGGUUGAAGGUUGGGUAACACUAACUGGAGGACCGAACCGACUAAUGUUGAAAAAUUAGCGGAUGACUUGUGGCUGGGGGUGAAAGGCCAAUCAAACCGGGAGAUAGCUGGUUCUCCCCGAAAGCUAUUUAGGUAGCGCCUCGUGAACUCAUCUUCGGGGGUAGAGCACUGUUUCGGCUAGGGGGUCAUCCCGACUUACCAACCCGAUGCAAACUACGAAUACCGAAGAAUGUUAUCACGGGAGACACACGGCGGGUGCUAACGUCCGUCGUGAAGAGGGAAACAACCCAGACCGCCAGCUAAGGUCCCAAAGUCAUGGUUAAGUGGGAAACGAUGUGGGAAGGCACAGACAGCCAGGAUGUUGGCUUAGAAGCAGCCAUCAUUUAAAGAAAGCGUAAUAGCUCACUGGUCGAGUCGGCCUGCGCGGAAGAUGUAACGGGGCUAAACCAUGCACCGAAGCUGCGGCAGCGACACUAUGUGUUGUUGGGUAGGGGAGCGUUCUGUAAGCCUGCGAAGGUGUGCUGUGAGGCAUGCUGGAGGUAUCAGAAGUGCGAAUGCUGACAUAAGUAACGAUAAAGCGGGUGAAAAGCCCGCUCGCCGGAAGACCAAGGGUUCCUGUCCAACGUUAAUCGGGGCAGGGUGAGUCGACCCCUAAGGCGAGGCCGAAAGGCGUAGUCGAUGGGAAACAGGUUAAUAUUCCUGUACUUGGUGUUACUGCGAAGGGGGGACGGAGAAGGCUAUGUUAGCCGGGCGACGGUUGUCCCGGUUUAAGCAUGUAGGCUGAUUGUCCAGGCAAAUCCGGAUAAUCAAGGCUGAGGUGUGAUGACGAGGCACUACGGUGCUGAAGUAACAAAUGCCCUGCUUCCAGGAAAAGCCUCUAAGCAUCAGGUAACAUCAAAUCGUACCCCAAACCGACACAGGUGGUCAGGUAGAGAAUACCAAGGCGCUUGAGAGAACUCGGGUGAAGGAACUAGGCAAAAUGGUGCCGUAACUUCGGGAGAAGGCACGCUGGUGUGUAGGUGAAGUCCCUGCGGAUGGAGCUGAGACCAGUCGAAGAUACCAGCUGGCUGCAACUGUUUAUUAAAAACACAGCACUGUGCAAACACGAAAGUGGACGUAUACGGUGUGACGCCUGCCCGGUGCCGGAAGGUUAAUUGAUGGGGUUAUCCGUAAGGAGAAGCUCUUGAUCGAAGCCCCGGUAAACGGCGGCCGUAACUAUAACGGUCCUAAGGUAGCGAAAUUCCUUGUCGGGUAAGUUCCGACCUGCACGAAUGGCGUAAUGAUGGCUAGGCUGUCUCCACCCGAGACUCAGUGAAAUUGAACUCGCUGUGAAGAUGCAGUGUACCCGCGGCAAGACGGAAAGACCCCGUGAACCUUUACUAUAGCUUGACACUGAACAUUGAGCCUUGAUGUGUAGGAUAGGUGGGAGGCUUUGAAGCGUGGACGCCAGUCUGCGUGGAGCCAACCUUGAAAUACCACCCUUUAAUGUUUGAUGUUCUAACGUUGGCCCCUUACCGGGGUUGCGGACAGUGUCUGGUGGGUAGUUUGACUGGGGCGGUCUCCUCCCAAAGCGUAACGGAGGAGCACGAAGGUUAGCUAAUCCUGGUCGGACAUCAGGAGGUUAGUGCAAUGGCAUAAGCUAGCUUGACUGCGAGCGUGACGGCGCGAGCAGGUGCGAAAGCAGGUCAUAGUGAUCCGGUGGUUCUGAAUGGAAGGGCCAUCGCUCAACGGAUAAAAGGUACUCCGGGGAUAACAGGCUGAUACCGCCCAAGAGUUCAUAUCGACGGCGGUGUUUGGCACCUCGAUGUCGGCUCAUCACAUCCUGGGGCUGAAGUAGGUCCCAAGGGUAUGGCUGUUCGCCAUUUAAAGUGGUACGCGAGCUGGGUUUAGAACGUCGUGAGACAGUUCGGUCCCUAUCUGCCGUGGGCGCUGGAGAAUUGAGGGGGGCUGCUCCUAGUACGAGAGGACCGGAGUGGACGCAUCACUGGUGUUCGGGUUGUCAUGCCAAUGGCACUGCCCGGUAGCUAAAUGCGGAAGAGAUAAGUGCUGAAAGCAUCUAAGCACGAAACUUGCCCCGAGAUGAGUUCUCCCUGAGACUUUAAGUCUCCUGAAGGAACGUUGAAGACGACGACGUUGAUAGGCCGGGUGUGUAAGCGCAGCGAUGCGUUGAGCUAACCGGUACUAAUGAACCGUGAGGCUUAACCUUACAACGCCGAAG
rnacentral:rRNA from 1 species